rnacentral:rRNA from 1 species
AUGCCAUUGUUUCGGUCGCCGCCGGUGACGACGACAAGCCCAAUGCACCACCACCACCUUGUCUUCCUCCCCACCUUACUGCUCGUCGUAGUCCACUUCAUUUGCGCAGCCGCCUCCUCGUCCACUUCUCCGAACACCGAGGUCGCCUUUCUCUUCUCAUGGCUCGGCACGUCCCCAGCGCGGCCGCCCGACUGGUCGCCGGCGUCGGCGACCCCUUGCAGGUGGUCCCACGUCGGCUGCGACGCUGCUGGCGCGGCAGUCACGUCGAUCACCUUCCAGUCCGUCCACCUCGCCGUGCCGCUGACGGCAGGGCUCUGCGCCGCGCUGCCGGGUCUCCUUAGCUUCAUUGUCUCCAAGGCCAACCUCACCGGCGGCAUCCCGGAGGACCUGGCCCUUUGCCGCCGUCUCGCCGUGCUCGACCUCAGCGAUAACUCUCUCACGGGCCCCGUACCGGCGUCGCUCGGCAACUUGACGGCAUCCCUGAAAAACCUGCUCCUCUUUGACAACCGCCUCUCCGGAGAGCUCCCGGCGUCCCUCGGUGGGCUGCGGCUGCUUGAGUCAUUCCGUGCCGGCGGCAACAGCGACCUCUCCGGCCCGAUCCCCGACUCCUUCUCCAAGCUAUCCAGCCUCGUCGUGCUUGGCCUCGCCGAGACCAAGAUCUCCGGUCCGCUCCGGCCGUCACUAGGCGCGCUCAAGAGUCUCCAAACGCUCUUCUUGGACAACACCAUGCUCUCUGGCUCCAUCCCACCGGAGCUCGCGCAGUGCUCUAACCUCAUCGGCGUCUACCUCUACCAGAACGCGCUCUCUGGCCCAAUCCCGCCGGAGCUAGGCGCUCUGCCGCGGCUGCAGUACCUGCUCCUGUGGGGGAACGCGCUCACGGGCCAUAUACCGGAGAGCUUCGGCAACCUCACGUCGCUGGUGGCGCUGGACCUCUCCAUCAACUCCAUCUCCGGCUCGAUUCCGGCGGCUCUCGGGCGGCUAGCAGAGCUGCAGGAGCUGAGGCUCACUGGCAACAAUCUCACCGGCACAAUCCCGGUUCAGCUAGCCAACGCGACGGCUAUCAUGCGGCUGCAGCUCGACGCCAACGAGAUCUCCGGCCUCAUCCCGCCCGAGCUCGGCCGGAGCCUGCCCAACCUGCAGGUGCUGUACGCGUGGCAGAACCGCCUCGAGGGUGCCAUCCCAGCCACGCUCGUGUCAAUGGCGAGCCUCCAGGGGCUCGACCUCUCCUACAACCACCUCACUGGUUUCAUACCGCCGGGGCUCUUCUUGCUGCGCAAUCUCACCAGGCUGAUGCUCAUGUCGAACGAACUAUCCGGCGUGAUACCGCCGGAGAUCGGGAAGGCGGCAAGCCUCGUGAGGCUCAGGCUAAGCGGCAACCAUAUCACCGGAGUGAUUCCCGCGGCUGUGGGCGGGAUGAACAGCAUCGUCUUCCUCGAUCUCGCCAGCAACCGCCUCACCGGCCCCGUGCCCGCCGAGCUCGGCAACUGCUCGCAGCUCCAGAUGCUUGACCUCCGCAACAACACGAUCACCGGGGCCUUGCCGGAAUCGCUCGCCGGCGUGCACGACCUGCAGAAGCUCGACGUCUCGCACAAUCAGUUCGUCGGUGUCGUGCCAAAAUCAUUCGGAAAGUUAGCGGCGCUGAGUCGUCUCGUCCUCGCAAAUAACGCACUGUCAGGGAGUAUACCAGCGGCGCUCGGGCGGUGCCACGCGCUCGAGCUGCUCGACCUCAGCGACAACCGCCUCUCCGGCGGCAUUCCCGACGAGCUCUGCGGCCUCUCCGGCCUCGGCAUCGCCCUCAACCUCAGCCACAACAACCUCACGGGCGCCAUUCCGGCGAGGAUAUCGGAGCUGAGCAGGCUCUCCGUGCUCGACCUGUCCUACAACGCGUUCGCCGGUAGCCUGGAGCCGCUGGCCAGGAUGGACAACCUCGUCACCCUAAACGUGUCGCGCAACAACUUCUCCGGGCACCUCCCGGAUACGAAGCUCUUCCGCCAGCUGCCGGCGUCCAGCCUCGCUGGAAACCCGGGGCUCUGCACCAAAGGCGGAGAUGUGUGCUUCGCCGUGGAUGCUGACGGGCGGCCGAUUACACACCGCGUGCACGGCCUCAAGCUCGCCGUUGCGCUGCCCGUGACGGCGACGGUGGCCAUUGUGCUCGGCAUGAUGGGCAUACUGCUGAGAGCGCGCGAGGUGGGCGGGAAAGUAGGCGGCAGCGACUCGGAGGCCGGCGUCGUAGAGCUGGGGUGGCCGUGGCAGUUCAUGCCGUUCCAGAAGGUGAGCUUGUCGGUGGACCAGGUGGUGCGGAGCCUCGUCGAUGCCAACAUCAUCGGCAAGGGCGUCUCCGGCGUGGUGUACCGCGUCAGCCUGAUCUCUGGCGAGACCGUCGCCGUCAAGAAGCUCUGGCCCGCGGCCACGUGCAACAACGCCGGCCGGGACUCGUUCACGGCGGAGGUGCGCACGCUGGGAUCCAUCCGGCACAGGAACAUCGUGCGUUUCCUCGGCUGUUGCUGUAACAGGAGCACGCGGGAGCGGCUGCUCAUGUACGACUACAUGGCGAACGGCAGCCUCGGCGCCGUCCUCCACAAACGCCAGGACCAUGGCGGUGGAGCGGUGCAGCUGGAGUGGGACGUCCGGUACCAGAUUGUGCUAGACUCGGCGCAGGGGCUGGCGUACCUGCACCACGGAUGUUCGCCGCCGAUCGUGCACCGCGAUAUCAAGGCCAACAACAUCCUCAUCGGCCUCGACUUCAAGGCCUACAUUGCCGACUUCGGCCUCGCCAAGCUCGUCCACAACGGCGCCGACUUUAGCCGCUCCUCUUACAGCAUCGCCGGGUCCUGCGGCUACAUCGCCCCAGAGUAUGGGCACUUGCUGAAAAUCACAGAGAAGAGCGAUGUGUACAGCUAUGGGGUGGUGAUGCUAGAGGUGCUGACGGGGAAGCAUCCGAUCGACCCGACGAUCCCUGAUGGGCUCCAUGUGGUCGACUGGGUUCGGCAGCACAAGGGUGGCGCCGGAGUGCUCGACCCGGCGCUGCAGGGGCAGUCCAAGACCGAGGUGGAGGAGAUGUUGUGGGUCAUGGGCGUCGCCAUGCUGUGUGUCAACGCCAUCCCCGACCAACGGCCGGCGAUGAAGGACGUCGUGGCGAUGCUUGGGAUAUUCCGAUCGAGCACGAGGAGCACUCCAAGCUCGACGUCCGGCUCAAGGACGUUGUCUGCACAGUAG